rnacentral:rRNA from 1 species
UGCGUAGGCGGAUGUGCAGGCGUCGUGUGAAAGCCCUCGGCUCAACCGGGGAAUUGCACGGCGAACCGCACGUCUCGAGACAAGUAGGGGCGGUCGGAACGAUAGGUGGAGUGGUGAAAUGCGUUGAUAUCUAUCGGAACGCCAAAGGUGAAGACAGACCGCUGGGCUUGUUCUGACGCUGAGGCACGAAAGCGUGGGGAGCAAACG